GUGGGUUUAUCAUGGUCUUUUGUUGGUUCAAGCAUAGAGCCUUAGCCUUGUAGUGUGGUGCACUGUGAGCAAGGAAUGAGCAUACUCUUGUGGUGGUGCUGCAGUUGAUGUUAGCAGGUUUGGAUUGGUUGCAAAGUUGUAGUCUCAAUUGACUGUGGUGCUUCUGUUAUUGGCCUGGCGUGCUUCAAGUUUGCAGAUAGGUCCAUAUGCAUGAUGGUUCUAGCUGGCAUGUUGAACUGUUUGGUCCAGUUUCAUUGUUCAAUAGCAAAUUGGAUGGUUUGUGGCAAGGUUCAUCACUGGUUUAGGUUUGCACUGCAGCUUAGUUCAUUGCUCAAUUACUUGGUGGCAGCUUGGUGAAUUUGGUCAUGGCUUUUAUAACAACAAGGUUGGAUUUUAAAGCAACAUGUACCAUUGGUUAUUCAAGGAUCAAAAUGGAACAUGGAAGGUUAUGGUUAGAAUAUGGAUUGU